rnacentral:rRNA from 1 species
UAAUGUAUGGGGAUCUGCCCGAUAGAGGGGAAUAACUACUGGAAACGGUGGCUAAUACCGCAUAAUGUCUACGGACCAAAGCAGGGGCUCUCGGACCUUGCACUAUCGGAUGAACCCAUAUGGGAUUAGCUAGUAGGUGGGGUAAAGGCUCACCUAGGCGACGAUCUCUAGCUGGUCUGAGAGGAUGAUCAGCCACACUGGGACUGAGACACGGCCCAG